GACGAACGCUGGCGGCGUGCCUAAUACAUGCAAGUCGAGCGCAGGAAACUGACGGAACUCUUCGGAGGGAAGGCAGUGGAAUGAGCGGCGGACGGGUGAGUAACACGUAAGGAACCUGCCUCAAGGAUUGGGAUAACUCCGAGAAAUCGGAGCUAAUACCGGAUAGUUCAUCGGACCGCAUGGUCCGUUGAUGAAAGGCGCUCCGGCGUCACCUUGAGAUGGCCUUGCGGUGCAUUAGCUAGUUGGUGGGGUAACGGCCCACCAAGGCGACGAUGCAUAGCCGACCUGAGAGGGUGAUCGGCCACACUGGGACUGAGACACGGCCCAGACUCCUACGGGAGGCAGCAGUAGGGAAUCUUCCACAAUGGACGAAAGUCUGAUGGAGCAACGCCGCGUGAGUGAUGAAGGUUUUCGGAUCGUAAAACUCUGCUGUAAGGGAAGAACACGUACGAGAGGGAAUGCUCGUACCUUGACGGUACCUUACGAGAAAGCCACGGCUAACUACGUGCCAGCCGCCGCGGUGA
rnacentral:rRNA from 1 species